rnacentral:rRNA from 1 species
GUGGGGAAUUUUGGACAAUGGGCGCAAGCCUGAUCCAGCCAUGCCGCGUGCAGGUUGAAGGCCUUCGGGUUGUAAACUGCUUUUGUACGGAACGAAAAAGCUCUCUCUAAUACAGGGGGUGAAUGACGGUACCGUAAGAAUAAGCACCGGCUAACUACGUGCCAGCAGCCGCGGUAAUACGUAGGGUGCAAGCGUUAAUCGGAAUUACUGGGCGUAAAGCGUGCGCAGGCGGUUUUGUAAGACAGGCGUGAAAUCCCCGGGCUCAACCUGGGAAUUGCGCUUGUGACUGGAAGGCUGGAGUGCGGCAGAGGGGGAUGGAAUUCCGCGUGUAGCAGUGAAAUGCGUAGAUAUGCGGAGGAACACCGAUGGCGAAGGCAAUCCCCUGGGCCUGCACUGACGCUCAUGCACGAAAGCGUGGGGAGCAAACAGGAUUAGAUACCCUAGUAGUCC